GCCUGGGUGGCUCAGUGGUUGAGCAUCUGCCUUUGGCUCAGGAUGUGAUCCUGGAAUCCCUGGGUCAAGUCCCAGAUCAGGUU
rnacentral:tRNA from 1 species